CAUGGUUGGUGACCUAACCAUGGAGUGGGCCUGCCUGUUGAGCCAUUCUGCUGUGAAGAGAUGGGGGUAUUCUGUCAAAACGUGGCUAGGAAGAUAGGCUGCAUGUGCAAGCGUGGGAACCACCCCCUUAAAUGAAAUGCAAUGUUGCUCAGCAAGGAAGAACUCCCGAGACAUCCUUCCACCGUCGUGCCAUUGGAGGGCAUGGCGCCGGCUUCCUUCCUGAGUCACUCACUGUUUACGGGCAGCCGCUGGCUUCCAGGCCGCGUCCCCUCCAGUAAAAAGGGGGCGUGCUUGGUAGAGAUCCUUGAGACCUUUGAUGGCAGGAUCUGAAACAAGGCCAGGCCCCAUUAUAGGGCAAUUACCCUUCAGGCUGAUUGGUGCAGAGACGCUGUAAACGCACCUUUGCGGAACACAGACGACACAGGAAAGACGUUUGGCAGUAAUACUACGACAGCGAGGGGCCCGGGAAGCCCGCGGAAACGCAGGAGGCGGCCAGGAGAGGCAGCGCUACGCACAUCCCCCCCACCUUCGGAGCCCUGUCCUAGCUUAGGCUGAGACAACUGGGAGGGGCUGGCUUCUUUGUUCCCCUCUUUCCCCGCAACCUGCCAGAGGGAACUGGAGAGAGGGGUCCUCCUAGCUUUAGGCACACUUAAAGCAGCCUGCCAGGAAGGAAAUGCGGGGGCUCCACCUUAGAGGCGGUCGAGGCCAGCGUGAAAGCACAGGGUGGCGACCACUUCCCCCACCCCCCACCCCGGUUCUCAUCCCCGGCCUACCCUCCUGCCUCCUGCCCAGAGCCCAGACUACAUGCAAGGCCUUGCGCCAGAUCCUGGAGAUGCCACGAUGAAGGUGGGAGGUGACAUUUUAAAAUAUCCCUCAAUUCCAGCACUUUGAGAGGCCGAGGGGGGCGGAUCACUUGAGAUUAGGAGUUCGAGACCAGCCUGGCCAACAUGGUAAAACCCUAUCUCUACUAAAAAUAAAAGAAUUCGCCGGGCAUAGUGAUGCACGCCUGUAAUCCCAGCUAUUCCGGAGGCUGAGGCAGGAGAAUCACUUGAACCCAGGAGAGGUUGCAGUGAGCCGAGAUCGUGCCACUGCACUCCAGCCUGGGUGAAAAAGCCAGACCUUGUCUCAAAACAACAGCAGCAGCAGCAGCAGCAGCA
rnacentral:lncRNA from 1 species